rnacentral:lncRNA from 1 species
GAAAUUGAAGAGUUGAAGAUUUGAGGUUUCCUACUUGAAGUAGGAAAGCUAAGCCUAAAAGUUUCCAUUUUGGGUUGAUCUUUCCUAAAUCGGAAUUGGCAACCAAAGUUUCUAAAGUUGGAAGUUUCUAUUCUUGGAGGUUUCCAUUUUUGUGAGUUUCUAUUCUCGGCUUUGGGCUUUUGGAUGACCCAUCCUUACUUCUUGGACCUAUGCCGCACCUAAACCCUAACCCUAGCCACUUAAUCAGCCGCACCUAGGCCUUGUUCACAUGCAAAAAUCUGAUUAUUUACCCUAAGCCCAUGCCUCACCUUUCCAUCCUAGAAGCCCUAUUUUACAAACCUUAACCCUAGCCCAUUGUUUCAAUCUGAUUUCAUUAGGGUUUUAGGUGCCUAUAUAUAUGUGUUUUACUCCUUUGGCCGAUCAUCACCCCCUCCACAAUUCAGAAAUUCGUCAAACACAUCCAUCACACUCUGCCGCAGCCUUCCUCCACCAAUCAGCCAUAUUUCCAUGCUUUGCCGCAACCCCCAUGUCCCCAAAACACUACCAUAUCAUUCCUUACCUACUCCUCCAUCCAAAUAAUCCCUAGAACCUGUCUCUAGUCUUUGUGCCGCAGCCAAGAGGAGGAGAAAAAGCUUGGGACGUUCAUGCCAUUCAAUUGAGGGUUGCUGGAACGUUUUAGGUGUUGUCUUUCCUUUGAUUUCUAUGUUUAAUUUUGAUACUCUUUGUGUUGUGAGAAUGAGGAACUAAACCCCCUUAGUUAGGGGGGAAUUCGAAACCAUGUACAUGCUUG